rnacentral:rRNA from 1 species
CCUACGGGCGGCAGCAGUGAGGAAUAUUGGUCAAUGGGCGGAAGCCUGAACCAGCCAAGUAGCGUGCGGGAUGAAGGCCCUACGGGUCGUAAACCGCUUUUGCACGGGGAUAACACCCUCCACUUGUGGAGGUCUGCAGGUACCGUGCGAAUAAGCACCGGCUAACUACGUGCCAGCAGCCGCGGUAAUACGUAGGGUGCGAGCGUUAAUCGGAAUUACUGGGCGUAAAGGGUGCGCAGGCGGUUGAGUAAGACAGAUGUGAAAUCCCCGAGCUUAACUCGGGAAUGGCAUAUGUGACUGCUCGACUAGAGUGUGUCAGAGGGAGGUGGAAUUCCACGUGUAGCAGUGAAAUGCGUAGAUAUGUGGAAGAACACCGAUGGCGAAGGCAGCCUCCUGGGACAUAACUGACGCUCAGGCACGAAAGCGUGGGGAGCAAACAGGAUUAGAUACCCGAGUAGUC